CUGACCUGCCCAAUGAGGAAUUGAAUGGCCGCAGUAUUUUAACUGUGCUAAGGUAGCAUAAUCAUUUGUCUUUUAAUUGAGGGCUGGAAUGAAAGGUUGGACGAGACAUUAGCUUUCUUUAGUUUAAUUGAAAGAAUUUAAUUUUUGAGUCAAAAAGCUUAAAUAUAUUUGUUGGACGAGAAGACCCUAUAGAUCUUUAUAGUCUUAUGUUUUUGUAUUGUAGGGAAUAUCUAUAUUUAAAGCAAAAGGAUUAUUUUGUUGGGGUGACUAUGGAAUUAUAAUAACUUCUGUUUGUUGGAUUCAUUAAUUAGUGUUUUAUUGAUCCAUAAAUUUGUGAU
rnacentral:rRNA from 1 species